AGACUUUAUUACCUCCCUUGCAACGUGAAUUUCUGUGAAUUUGCUCUUUAGCUUUUUUUCUGCCUGUGUAAUCUAUUCAUAUCAUUUGCAUGUAUGCCCACUGGAUACAGUUUUAGUUUCUUUCAUUUUUCAUAUUUGUUUACAAUAUUUUUUACAACAAUAGAUGUCUUGAAGUUUUGUGUUGUUUACAAUAAUCUUUUUGACUUGGAAAAAAGAAACAUCUGUUUUGGACACGCAUAUGUGGUUAUUUUUAAAAUAUGUUGUUCAUAACUCAUCAUUAAAUCUAUUAAGCAAGCAGAU
rnacentral:misc_RNA from 1 species